rnacentral:misc_RNA from 1 species
AAGAGAUCCGGGUCCCUUUCAGGGCCCGACCUCCCACCCUUUGUCGUUAAACAAAUCUUGUUGCUUUGGCGGGCCGGCGUCGAGCCGCCCGGGCUCACCCGCCCGGGACAGCGCCCGCCAGAGGACCAAACCAAAACUCUUCGAAUGAACAGUUUCGUCCGAGAAAUACGAUUUAAUCAAUCA